GAUGAACGCUGGCGGCGUGCUUAACACAUGCAAGUCGAACGAAGCACUUUAUUUGAUUUCCUUCGGGACUGAUUAUUUUGUGACUGAGUGGCGGACGGGUGAGUAACGCGUGGGUAACCUGCCUUGUACAGGGGGAUAACAGUUGGAAACGGCUGCUAAUACCGCAUAAGCGCACAGCAUCGCAUGAUGCAGUGUGAAAAACUCCGGUGGUAUAAGAUGGACCCGCGUUGGAUUAGCUAGUUGGUGAGGUAACGGCCCACCAAGGCGACGAUCCAUAGCCGACCUGAGAGGGUGGCCGGCCACAUUGGGACUGAGACACGGCCCAAACUCCUACGGGAGGCAGCAGUGGGGAAUAUUGCACAAUGGGCGAAAGCCUGAUGCAGCGACGCCGCGUGAGCGAAGAAGUAUUUCGGUAUGUAAAGCUCUAUCAGCAGGGAAGAUAAUGACGGUACCUGACUAAGAAGCACCGGCUAAAUACGU
rnacentral:rRNA from 1 species